rnacentral:piRNA from 11 species
GCCCGGCUAGCUCAGUCGGUAGAGCAUGG